GCCGGGAUGGCGGAAUUGGUAGACGCAAGGGACUUAAAAUCCCUCGGAUGAAUAAUCCGUGCCGGUUCGAGUCCGGCUCUCGGCA
rnacentral:tRNA from 1 species